rnacentral:lncRNA from 10 species
UGUUUUUGCUCCCUGAGGUCUGGGCCCCUGUCUCCUGCCCAUGGCACCUCGCCCAGGGGCUCUGGACAGCAUCAGCAUGGACCCAGCAUGCCCGACUCUCAUCUCUCUACGGUGACCAGCUCACAUGUGCCAGGACCCAGUCAGGAUGGGUCAGGCCAGCAGUGAGAAGUAGAGGCCGGCAGGAGUGAGAGUGGAGGGGAAGAAAGGGCACCCACAGCCACAGCCCUCUGCUGAGAACUGCUCCUGGCCAGGGGGCCUCCAUCCCUGAAGGAACAGGCUCCUAGUCACGCCAGGGGGUGCCGGCACAGCGGGGGACUCUCAUGAGAACGGCCUGAGGUCCCUGACGCAAUGCAGUCAACCAGAAACAUUCUCCACAGCCUUGAGAAGAGCAGGGGAGCCCCUGCUUUAGGUGGGUCUGUCUCAUUAAAAAAACAAAUAAAAACACCUUUUUUUCACUCAGUGUCUUCAGGAAGAGAAGUGGCAGGAUGCCGGUCCUAAGGAAGACGCUGCUCACAGAGUCUUUGUUGGGUGGAAAGUACUGGAAAUGUUGCUAUGCUAAGGUGAAACAGAACAUUCUUCCUGUGUAUAAAACAUAAACAUCCAACUUGGUGAAUAGAGGUCUGCGCCAGCCUCAGGCUCCACCCAGGACUGAAUUAAAUUUGAGGAAGCUGCAGUGCCGUCCACAGCACAAGGAUGUGGGCCAGCUCCAUCC